UACGGGGGGAGCAAGCGUUGUUCGGAUUUAUUGGGCGUAAAGAGCGUGUAGGCGGUUUGGUAGGUCCGUUGUGAAAACUCGAGGCUCAACCUCGAGACGCCGAUGGAAACCAUCAGACUAGAGUCCGGAAGAGGAGAGUGGAAUUCCUGGUGUAGCGGUGAAAUGCGCAGAUAUCAGGAAGAACACCCCGUGGCUAAGGCGGCUCUCUAGUACGGUACUGACGCUGAGACGCGAAAGCGUGGGGGAGCGAACAGG
rnacentral:rRNA from 1 species